rnacentral:pre_miRNA from 1 species
AACAUACUUCCUCCGUCCAACAAAGGAUGUCUCAACUUUGACUAAAUUUGAAUGCAUCUAUACACUAAGUCAUGUCUAGAUACAUCCAAAUUUUGACAAACUUGAGACAUCUUUUGUUGGACGGAGGGAGUAGAUC